ensembl:lncRNA
AUGGCAUCUGAGUCAUUCAGACAGUUUAAGGAAUGGCUGGAAGCAGCAAAAACCAUGGCAGAUGAGUUGGAAACCCAAAAAACUAAAAAGAAAAGAAAACAAAAGGGAACUGAAGUCUCCAAUGUUUCCUGGAGGAAGAGAGACCAGCAUGGGAACAUCCUACCACAGCGUGUUAGGAAGACUCGAUCUAAGAAACCUGCUGGCACUAGAGAGCUCUCAGAAGUUGAGGAGGUGGAAAUGGAUGAAAUUCCACAAGAGGUCCCAAGUCUUGAUCAACAUCUUCAGAGACUAAAAAACCUGCUAAAUUCUGCCACUGUCUCUGCACCAGUGGAAGCAGAAGAGACACCCACCAUGUCUGCAUGGACCAACAGACAGGUCAUCUCUGAAAAAAAAUUUAGGACUGCAAUGCCAGAAAUCUUAAAUUGCAUGUUGGCUGCAGAGACAGUAACCCAGCAUUGCUGUCAACAAUGCAAGACUGCUGAUGCUGUUGUCCGGUGCCUAGACUGUGUUCCCUCAGGAAGUCAGUUUUUCUGUUCCACAUGUGACUCAGAGAUCCACAGAAAAAAUUGUUUCCAUAAUAGAGAAGCUAUGUUUGAUGGUUUUUUUAAACCUAUUCCACCAACAUCUUUAGUGGUGGUUGAUGAAAGUGGCCAAUAUCAACUCGGUGAACAAGUGUGUAUGCUUCCGAUUUCUCCACCAAUGCAAAUCUGCCCCUGCGGUCCAAACCAAGACUUCACUGUUAUCCCAGGAAAGAAGACUGUCUUGGUGACUAUCAACGGUCCAUACAAUCUGUGCCUGCCUAGUAUAUCCUGUCCACUUUGUUCUUGUAAAUGGACUCCUGGGAUUAGUGACUUGCUUGAAUAUAGAUACUGGCCAGCAACCACCAGCUGCCAAAUGCUGUUCAAGUUUGAUGUGUUCACAUCAUUUGAGCAGAUGAAGUUAGCUAGCCCAGCAUUAUCCCAACAAGCAUUUCUCAAAAUGCUUGAACAUCGAUCUCUUUGCACUGGUCGGAGGGGUAGUAUUUGUGGUGAUACCUUCCACAGAGUCUUUCGGGAGUUUGCCUUCUGCAAUUAUAAGAAAGAAGAUCUGUGCUUGAUGGAGCCCUUUAAAUGCCCAGCAUGCACACCAGACAUGCUGGCUAUAUCUGCAGAUGGUAAUAGAAAACAUUACCGGUUCAAAAAGUCCAAAGGGACAGAUAUACCAUCUCUUUUUGAUGGGCUGUUCAUCGCACAAGAUGCCAAAGUGUCUGCCUUUGUUGACCAAAUAAGAAGCCAGAUGUGCAGUAGGACAGGUCAUGAUGUCUGUGGUCCGGCAAUAUUUACAGCAGGCAGAGAAACAUCUCAGAAAUCCAGGGCCAAGGUGGAUGAAGAGGGCCUUGAAAUAGCUGUGUGCAGACAUGGAAUCUUGCUGCAAGGCUUAAAUCACUAUCGUGGUGAAAUAUAUGCCUACCCAAUGUUCCUGCAGAAGGAGCUGGCACAAGUUGCAAAUGCAACAUUCUUUUGUAUGGACAUUACCUGCAGGUAGGCUUGCAAGCUUACCAUUGCCAAUUGACAACUGAAGUUUUUACUGAUAUUUUACCAUUAUUAAUCUAUGUUAUGCAUGGCAAUAACACCAUGACUAGCUAAAAAUCACACAUUUAAUAUAUUAUGGACUUAGAAAGUUAAUAUGGUGACUGUGUUAUCAAUUUACUAGUACCACAUAUUAAAUGCAAUAUGACAGCACAGUGUUCUUUGAUUGUUUACAGGAAUUUUGCAAGUCACAUAUGUCCUUGUUUGUUUGUCCUUGCAUCUCAAAUACUAAGUGGUUUUCCCAUUACAGGUACUGGCCUUAUUUGGAAAAGAUGGCAGAGAAGUUGCCUGAACUCCAACCACUUACCAUGAUGAAGCCUUUUCUGUCUGUAAUGCAUGCCAAGGCUCACACUGGCAAAUGUGAGGUACAGUGUGCAAUUUAAGUGUACGAGUUUCAGUUUUUAGAAGCAUAUUCUUACAGCAUCAGAAAUAUUUAGCUGGAUUUUUAUCUCUUUUAAUAUGG